rnacentral:rRNA from 1 species
CGCCAGACUCCUACGGGAGGCAGCAGUGGGGGAUAUUGCACAAUGGGGGGAACCCUGAUGCAGCGACGCCGCGUGGGUGAAGAAGCGCCUCGGCGCGUAAAGCCCUAUCAGCAGGGAAGAAGAUGACGGUACCUGAUUAAGAAGCCCCGGCUAACUACGUGCCAGCAGCCGCGGUAAUACGUAGGGGGCAAGCGUUAUCCGGAUUUACUGGGUGUAAAGGGAGCGCAGACGGCAGUGCAAGUCUGGAGUGAAAGCCCGGGGCCCAACCCCGGAACUGCUCUGGAAACUGUGCGGCUAGAGUACUGGAGGGGCAGGCGGAAUUCCUAGUGUAGCGGUGAAAUGCGUAGAUAUUAGGAGGAACACCAGUGGCGAAGGCGGCCUGCUGGACAGUAACUGACGUUGAGGCUCGAAAGCGUGGGGAGCAAACAGGAUUAGAUACCCGGGUAC